rnacentral:misc_RNA from 1 species
CAAGCACCUCGGUAGGUGAGGCGUCUGCAUGGACACAGGCCACUGACCCCGAACGUCGAGAGACGCCCCGGGUCAGGACAGCUCUUCCCGGACCCAAGGGUUGAGCCCAAGUGGCUUCCGGACGAGGAGCGAUCGCAAGCGCGGCGAAGC